rnacentral:misc_RNA from 1 species
AACGCACAUUGCGCCCCUCGGUACUCCGGGGGGCAUGCCUGUCCGAGCGUCAUUGAAAACCAUCAAGCCCGGCUUGGUCUUGGGCGUGGUCUUUGGGACCCGCCCGCAACCCGUCGGCGGUGCCGGCCCGGCCCUGAGCGUAGCAAAGACCCUCGCUCGGGGGCUGCGGCGGCGCCAGCCUAGAGAACGUACCUCCUUAGUCUGACCUCGGAUCAGGUAGGGAUACCCGCUGAACUUAA